rfam:Bacillus sp. VT-16-64 NODE_244, whole genome shotgun sequence.
GGGGCAUUAGCUCAGCUGGGAGAGCGCUACACUGGCAGUGUAGAGGUCAGCGGUUCGAGCCCGCUAUGCUCCA